UGAAAAUGGAUGGCGCUGUAGCGUCGUGCCUAUACUCGGCCGUCAACGGCACAGGGGGCGGCACCUUCGCGGGUGCCGGGCCGUUAUGCCUUGACGAGUAGGAGGGUCGCGUCGGUGGGCGCAGAAGGGUCUGGGCGUGAGCCUGCCUGGAGCCACCGUCGGCGCAGAUCUUGGUGGUAGUAGCAAAUACUCCAGCGAGGACCUGGAGGACUGACGUGGAGAAGGGUUUCUUGUGAACAGCUGUUGCACAAGAGUCAGUCGAUCCUAAGCCCUAGGAGAAAUCCUAUGUCGAUGGGAAGCCGUUGAAAAUAGAAGGCGGUGCGCUAUUUAUUUAGCGUAGUACGCUCUUGUAUUGGAAGGCGACCCACGGGGCGAAAGGGAAUCCGGUUCCUAUUCCGGAACCCGGCUGCGGAACCGUUCAUUAGCGGGCCCUCAUCCGAGAGCUCGACGGGGCAACCCGAAGAGACCCGGAGACGCCGGCGGGAGGUCCGGAGAGAGUUUUCUUUUCUCUAUAAGCGUUCGAGUUCCCUGGAAGCCUAUAGCAGGGAGAUAGGGUUUGGAACGCGAAGAGCACCGCAGUUGCGGCGGUGUCCGGAUCUUCCCCUCGGACCUUGAAAAUCCGGGAGAGGGCUACGCGGAAUGUCCGCGCCGGAUCGUACCCAUAUCCGCAGCAGGUCUCCAAGGUUAAGAGCCUCUAGUCGAUAGAAUAAUGUAG
rnacentral:rRNA from 1 species